rnacentral:rRNA from 1 species
AGCUUGCUGUCGGGGUGAGAGUGGCGAACGGGUGUAGUAAUGCGUGUACCAACCUGCCCUGUGCACCGGAAUAGCUCCUGGAAACGGGCGGUAAUACCGGAUGCUCCGCUCCAUCGCAUGGUGGGGUGGGAAAUGCUUUUGCGGCAUGGGAUGGGGUCGCGUCCUAUCAGCUUGUUGGCGGGGCGAUGGCCCACCAAGGCGUUGACGGGUAGCCGGUCUGAUAGGGUGACCGGCCACAUUGGGACUGAGAUACGGCCCAAACUCCUACGGGAGGCAGUAGUGGGGNAAUAUUGCACAAUGGGCGCNAGCCUGAUGCAGCGNCGCCGCGGGCGGGAUGGAGGCCUUCNGGUUGUAAACCGCU